GAUGAACGCUGGCGGCGUGCCUAAUACAUGCAAGUCGAGCGAACAGACGAGGAGCUUGCUCCUCUGACGUUAGCGGCGGACGGGUGAGUAACACGUGGAUAACCUACCUAUAAGACUGGGAUAACUUCGGGAAACCGGAGCUAAUACCGGAUAAUAUAUUGAACCGCAUGGUUCAAUAGUGAAAGACGGUUUUGCUGUCACUUAUAGAUGGAUCCGCGCCGCAUUAGCUAGUUGGUAAGGUAACGGCUUACCAAGGCAACGAUGCGUAGCCGACCUGAGAGGGUAAAAGGCCAAACUGGAACCUGAACCACGUCCCAGGCACUAACGGGAGCCAGAGUAGGGGAACUUCCGCCAUGGGCGGAAAGCUUGCGGGAGCAACGCCGGUGAGUUGAGGAAGGUCUCCGAAUGGAAAAACUCUUUUAUAGGGAAAAAACAAUUUGUAAGUUAACUUGGCCGGUUUGACGGUACCCAAUCAAGAAGCCACGGCUAACUACCUG
rnacentral:rRNA from 1 species